AUUGAACGCUGGCGGAAUGCUUUACACAUGCAAGUCGAACGGCAGCACGGGGGCAACCCUGGUGGCGAGUGGCGAACGGGUGAGUAAUACAUCGGAACGUGCCCAGUCGUGGGGGAUAACGUAGCGAAAGUUACGCUAAUACCGCAUACGAUCUACGGAUGAAAGCGGGGGACCGUAAGGCCUCGCGCGAUUGGAGCGGCCGAUGUCAGAUUAGGUGGUUGGUGAGGUAAAGGCUCACCAAGCCGACGAUCUGUAGCUGGUCUGAGAGGACGACCAGCCACACGGGGACUGAGACACGGCCCAGACUCCUACGGGAGGCAGCAGUGGGGAAUUUUGGACAAUGGGCGCAAGCCUGAUCCAGCCAUUCCGCGUGCAGGACGAAGGCCUUCGGGUUGUAAACUGCUUUUGUACGGAACGAAAAGGCUCUGGUUAAUACCCGGGGCUCAUGACGGUACCGUAAGAAUAAGCACCGGCUAACUACGUGCCAGCCGCCGCCGUAA
rnacentral:rRNA from 1 species